rnacentral:lncRNA from 1 species
UUUUUUUUUUUCAUAUUAUAGUAGCUUUUUACUUUUAAAGUGCACUUUUAAUUCUCACUGUAAAUGACUGGUCUAUAUUUUCUACUAAUUCUUUCAAGGACAUCGAUGGUCCUGUUUGCUGUUUUUCUUUUGAGGUGGCAGCACUCCCUAAAGGUCUUAUUAUUUUGGCCCAUUAGUGACUAUCUGUGUUAGUGUCAUGUGUGUAAAGAGAAAGAAGGGCCAGCUGGAGUCCUAGUCCAGCACAAAACCACAGUCACUACCCUUUGGGUGUCACUUCAGGUCAGGGCUUCAGAGUGGGAGCACUAGGAGACACUGCUAGCUGGGAUGGUGGAGGAGGCAAUGACUAGGGCAGUCCCCAGCUCCUCCCACUCCAGCAGGAUUUCAGCUUGGAUUUUCUCACCCACCCCUCAACAGCUGGACAGGCAAUCAGGAUCUUGCCAUCGUUUUUCGCAGCAGGGAGCAGACAGUGAUUGCUCAAGGCCAACACUGGGGAGGCAAGAGCAGAAGCUUCCAGGAACCUUCUCAUAGCCACAGCCAGCAAGUAACCCAGUUCAAAACACCUUUCAGUCUCACCAGGGCUAACUCAUUAUUGGUUUUCUUGGAAUGUAUAUGUAUGGCCCACAUUCCCUCCUAGAUGGAAAGGGCCUGUAAGAAGGGAUCAUGGUUUAUUGAAUCUUGGUUACACAAUCUUCCUUUCCCCCCUAAAUGCUAGCACAUUAUUAAAUAAAUAAGCCAAUGAUAACAAAUAAAAGUAAAUAAAGUGGAUAACACUGGCUCCAGGGAGAGGUACUGUUAUUGGGAUUAGAGUCUAAUAAUGGGGCAAACAUAGGUUCAACAAAAACGUACUAAAAUGUCCUUUAAAAAUGACACAAGACUGGGUGCGUGGCUCAGUGCUGUCACCAGAAUGUCUGAUAAUUCCUGGACAGAUAGAGAAGUGGUGCAAAUGUGUGCUUACAUAUGGAGUUGAUGUCAUCUCCUGCACCAGCCUCCUGCCCUGGGCAGACUGUUGUGGUCAUUUGGGGGAGCUCCCUAGCACAGCAGAUUUCUUGUUGGCCAUCACUUUUCAAACUCUGGACUUCUGUCCUUUGGCUGGGAACUGCUCACUUCCCUUAGAACUUUCCCCUCCCCUCUCCUGACUUCUCUAAAUCCCAGAGCUCCAACCUCUACCUCCUGGAAAAUUCUAAGCUAAAAUCACUCUUCCUUUGUAUCUGCAGAUAGGUUGAAAUUUAUACAUUAAAACUUAUUUGUGAAAAGAAAAGUAACUUUAAAAAUAUAUAACUGGUCUCAUUACACUCUGGAGCAACAGUUCCAAAUGAUGGUAGGAAAACCCCAGAAUUGGCCAUCAAAAGGCAUAGAUCCAGCCCUUCCGGUUUAAAAGAGGUAUUUUUGAAAAACUUCAAAUCUCUUUUGGGAAAGGCGGAAUCUUUCAUGGUUUCUUCUCCUUCCCCUCUCCCUCCCCGUUUUGGGAAUGACAUCCUGGGGCAGAGGAUGAACUUACAGAGCGUGCUGGCCGUGGGAAGCCGGGUCUAGGUGGCAUUUUUUUUCUCUCUUUUCUGAUGGUUCUCUGCCACCAGUUCCUUGGCCUCUCCCCAUCAAUUGCCAACAUUUCCAUGGCUGGUUUAAUCUGUGAUUGAUUAUCCCUGGUGAAGGCAAUGGGGCUCAGCCACCUUGGCUGCUGGUAGCCCCAGCAUGGCUCUGCUCCUACUCACAUCCUUCCAGUUUGCUGGGGCUGCAGCCUGAUCCUGGGCCCGUGUGGUCUGGGCUGUGGCCCCUGGCUCCAGGCCAGUUCUACCAUCUCCAUGACCAUCCUGAAAACCAAUUUACUGCACAUUAACUCACUAAAAUCAACCCAUCAACUAAUCAGAAAUUAAUACAUCAAAUCAUCAAUUCUCCAAUUUUAUCAAUAUGCCAAAAACUUUACUUUAAAGACUUUGUCCUUUUAUGUUGAAUUGAAUGGUUUUUACAGCUUUUGAAGACUUCUGAAAAUGUUUGGUUAAUUUGCUUUUCCUUUUGUUUUCAUAGUACCUUAUAAAUAAUGUUCAAUUUGUCAGAUGUUGGGGAUACAGGAAGAAGAUGGUAAUGGUGACAGAGUGUUUUUCAUCUUCCCAAGUGUCCCCACAAAAACAGAGAGUGCAAUUGGGAUAGCAAAGGAUAAUACCCACAGACGGUGUCUCUUUAUCAGACCAGGGACAUCCCUAGAAGAUCCCACGAGACUCUAGGAUGUGUGUGGGUAGAUCCAAGCUGUAGAUCCAAGGUAGAUCCUGUGGGCUCUAGUGCCAUGUGGAGGUAGCAGAGGGUUGAAAGGAGAGGGUUCUGGUGUUUCUAAGAUCUUGGGAACACGGAAGUGGCCAGUGCGUGCCCACCUCCCGAAAGAGGUGAUCUCAGUCUAGAAUGAAUCCUCAGCAGAGAGCUCUAAGGACCUAGACUUUUGUAAAUUUAGAAACUCCCUUUUCUCUUACCAAUGUCUAAUUUUUAAGACUAUGACUUUGAUAUGGCUGUCAAUAUUCUGUUUUGGAAUAUUGUUUGCUUUUGGUCUUCUGUGAUAAAAAUCCAAAUUUUCCCCUGGGUGAAUAGGCAUAAGGUCACAUCUAAAGAAAUGCAAAAGGAAAACAUUAAGAACUCUAGUAAAUUAAUGUUUUUAUAAUAACAUAUAUCCCCAUAUAUUUCACAGAAACAUGUAACUUCUGUCUAUAUGAGCUUUGAGUAUUUCAUUUAUAAUGAAGUGGCACAUUAAUGUGUUUUUCUAAAUCAAAAGUCAAUUUCCUCCUUGAGAUUAAUUACAUCUCCAGAAUAUUAAAGCAGCUUCUGACACCAUGUAUUUGAAACAGCAAUUUCCCGUUUUUACUAUAAGAAGAAUAAAUAAAUUGUUGUGUAAUACACAAAAGGGAAUUCUUAAUUCUGUCCUCGGUAGGAGAAGCUAGAGAGAAGAUGACAUUUGAACUGUGCCAUGGAGGAUAAAUAUGAGUUUACUGAUGCGGAGAAGAGGAUGAGAGCCUUGCAAGGAGAGAAGACGGCCUGGGCAAAGGCACAGAGGCCUCAAAGCAUAUGGUAGGCAGGGGACUGCUGCGUGGCCAAGGAGAUGAGGAGCUGGAGGAGACGAGGCUUAGAAAACAGGCUGGUGUCAAAUUGUGAAAGCCACAGAUGUCCUGCUAAAGUAAUAGGGUUGUGCCUUAUCUAUGGUUAAUGGCAAGCAGGCACAGUUUUUGUUUUGGAGCCAGGUGAAAGCAGGAUUGACUUGAAUUGAUAGAAAGAGAAAAGAGGCAGCAAACCAUUUAACUGACUAAUCGAUCAAUUAAUUAAUUAUCCCAGUCUCCUUGUGAAAGUUCCAAACCUUCUCACUCUCCGCUCACUCCACAUUCAGUUCUACACAGCAACAGGAAUUCAUUGCCUCUUACUUCAAGAAAAUUAGUCAGGCACGUCCUUCAUCAGCGACAUUCUGACCAUUCUGAGACCCUGGUUUCCCUUUUUUCUUCUUCCUCAAGUCUCAGAGGCUGGGGCUCUUCCUGCUCCAGGCUAACCCUGACCUCCACCUGUGCCCUCAAAACCUUCACUGCUGCCUCCACCGGGAGCUUGUCUCAGCCGUCCUCCCCUCCAUCUCUCUGUUAACUCUGUUCAGUCUCUUGCUACGAGAUCCUUCUCCUCAGUCUAGAAUUUAGGCUCAAAUCUUCCUUGUCCUCAAUGCUCUUCUCGUCUCCCUAGCUUCCACCCCAUCUCUCUUCUUUACUCUUCCCAGGUUCCUUAAAGAAAAUGCUACACUUCUGUGUUUCCUUUCUCCCCUCCCACGCAUUCUCAGCCCCAUCACAGUCUGACUUCCUUGUCCAUGAGCUCGAUGGGACAGAAAUUGAUUGCUAAGGUCAUCAAAUCUUUAUCUUGGUGGAUUUCUUUGCUGCUUUCAUCACAGUGGAUCAUUCUGCUUUCUUGACUUCUCUCUUUAUUCAGAUUUCAAGACAUCACACUCCUCUGGUUUUCUUGACACCAUUCAGAUCAUUCAUUCUGGAGCUUCUGCUCUUCUGGGAAUCCAUAAAUGCAGGGUCUCUCUAGGGAUCUGUCCCCAGCUAACAAUGUCUCCUCGAUCAAACAUUCAUUUGUAUAGCUUCAAUUCUUUUUUGUUGUUGUUGUUUUGUUUUGUUUUGAGAUGGAGUCUUGCUCUGUCGCCAGGCUGAGUGCAGUGGUGCGAUCUCGGCUCACUGCAACCUCCGACUCCCGGAUUCAAGUGAUUUUCCUGCCUCAGCCUCCUGAGUAGUUGGGAUUACAGCUGCGUGCCACCACACACCCAGCUAAUUUUUGUAUUUUUAGUAAAGACGGGAUUUCACCAUGCGGCCAGGAUGGUCUCGAUCUCCUGACCUCGUGAUCCGCCGCCUCGGCCUCCCAAAGUGCUGGGAUUACAGGCAUGAGCCACUGCGCCUGGCCUGUAUAGCUUCAAUUCUUAGUCAUCUAAUUAUGUCUAACAUAGUAAAGGACAACCCUUGGCGACUACCAGGUGCUUAGUAGCUGUCACAUCCUUUCUUCUCCCCCGACCUUUUGAAUACAGCAACCUGGUCUUCUAUUAAUGGAGAGCAAAAUCUAACCAUUCCACCUUCUCUCUCCUUAGGACCACAGUUUUAUUCUUCUAGGUAUCUCUACUUUCUCUAACAUUAAUCCACCUCUUUUUCCAUUUCCGUACACUCACUUUCCUGCUUUGGCUGUCUUCAUCUGAUCAAAAUGAAAAAUUAAAAGAUAUUUGAAUGUUUUUGUGUAAUAGCUAAUCUAUUACAAAAUGUUUAUAUUCUUAGGCAUGCAGUUUUAUUAUGCAAUCACAAAUGGCUUUGUACGUUUGACUUUUCUCAAAACCAAAAAUCAGUUUUUAAAAUUGCUUUUUACUUACGUGGUGCUUGCUUGAUGAAAACAAGCAACUAGAAAAAAACCGGUCUACUUCCUCUCAAACAGUGUCUCCAACUUUGUGACUUGCCUGGCUACCAGGCCCUUCUUGGGAAGUAGUCUGCCAGACACAAAUGACUCUCUCAGUUCCCACUGCCCAUUGGUCCACGAAGGAAUGGAGAACGUUGUCUUUGGAGAAGUAGGUGCUUACCGCAGAAACAGCCUUCCAUGAGAUUGCUUCAGUACUGCUUUCACUUUCCCGUCACAUGCAAA